rnacentral:misc_RNA from 1 species
GAUGAAGAACGCAGCGAAAUGCGAUAAGUAAUGUGAAUUGCAGAAUUCAGUGAAUCAUCGAAUCUUUGAACGCACAUUGCGCCCGCCAGCACUCUGGCGGGCAUGCCUGUCCGAGCGUCAUUUACCACCCUCGGGCCCCCUUGGGGGCCCGGUGCUGGGGGCACGGCCCAGGCCGCCCCCGAAAUGCAGUGGCGACCCCGCCGCGUCCUCUCCUGCGCAGUAGCACAAUCUCGCACCGGAAGCGCGGAGGCGGUCACGCCUGGAAACGCCCCAACUCAACGCAGUUGACCUCGGAUCAGGUAGGAGUACCCGCUGAACUUAAGCAUAUCAAUAAGCGGAGGA